GAUGAAGAACGCAGCGAAAUGCGAUAAGUAGUGUGAAUUGCAGAAUUCAGUGAAUCAUCGAAUCUUUGAACGCACAUUGCGCCCCAUGGUAUUCCGUGGGGCAUGCCUGUUCGAGCGUCAUCUACCCCCUCAAGCUCCGCUUGGUGUUGGGCGUCUGUCCCGCUUCGCGCGCGGACUCGCCCCAAAGGUAUUGGCAGCGGUCGUGCCAGCUUCUCGCGCAGCACAUUGCGCUUCUCGAGGCACCGGUGGGCCCGCGUCCAUCAAGCUCACCCCCCCAGUUUGACCUCGGAUCAGGUAGGGAUACCCGCUGAACUUAAGCAUAUCAAUAAGCGGAGGA
rnacentral:misc_RNA from 1 species